AUUCUAGGCCGGGAGAGCCGAUGCCUUUGCAGUAAUUCCCACCGUGGAGGUUUGUGGAAAGACCGCUUUCCAUGGAGAGUAAAGGCCGGCUGGAAAGUCCCCAAGCGUCACUGCUACAACAUGGUGACCUCCUGGAGAACAGGGACGUGUGGUGUUUCUCUUUGUAUUUGUCUUUUGUUCCCAGAACAGGGAUUGUCAAUGAGGUAGAUCAGAUUCCCAUUCGACGGGCAACCAGUCAAUGAAACAGACACACCUGCAC
rnacentral:lncRNA from 1 species